ensembl:snoRNA Small nucleolar RNA SNORD37
AUGAGUGAUGACUUGCAUAUUCUUCACUUUGACCUGACUGUCUAGUGAUGAAAGACUUCAGUCUGAUG